rnacentral:rRNA from 1 species
UUGUCCUACGGGGCGCAGCAGUGGGGAAUAUUGCACAAUGGGGGAAACCCUGAUGCAGCGACGCCGCGUGAGUGAAGAAGUAAUUCGUUAUGUAAAGCUCUAUCAGCAGGGAAGAAAAUGACGGUACCUGAGUAAGAAGCCCCGGCUAACUACGUGCCAGCAGCCGCGGUAAUACGUAGGGGGCAAGCGUUAUCCGGAUUUACUGGGUGUAAAGGGAGCGUAGACGGCAGUGCAAGUCUGGAGUGAAAGCCCGGGGCUCAACCCCGGGACUGCAUUUGGAACUGCGUGGCUUGAGUGUCG